rnacentral:rRNA from 1 species
GUUCGAAAGCCCUUCGGCAUCUCUAAUCCUUUCCGCUUAGGGGUUCCUGCGGAAGGAUCAUUAGAGAUGCCGAAAGGCUUUCCAAACACCCGUGCACCGCCCGACGCCCGCGAGGGCCGAGGGCCACACAUACAGCCGUCACGAACGUAAUCUAUGAUAACAAAUACAACUUUCAACAACGGAUCUCUUGGCUCUCGCAUCGAUGAAGAACGCAGCGAAAUGCGAUAAGUAAUGUGAAUUGCAGAAUUCAGUGAAUCAUCGAAUCUUUGAACGCACCUUGCGCCUUUUGGUAUUCCGAAAGGCAUGCCUGUUUGAGUGUCAUGUAGACUCAACCCCGUGGGUUUUUCCCUCGGACGUUGGAUUUGGGCCCUGCCUACCGGCUGGCCUCAAAAGUGUUAGCGGUGACCGCAGACGUUGUAAGCACUCGUCGUAUCGGGCCCGCUCCUAACCCCAUCUAUUUGCACUCUGACCUCAAAUCAGGUAGGGCUACCCGCUGAACUUAAGCAUAUCAUAAUGCCGGAAAGAAAAUCAUUGAGAUGCGAAAGGCUUUCCAAACACCCGUGCACCGCCCGACGCCCGCGAGGGCCGAGGGCCACACAUACAGCCGUCACGAACGUAAUCUAUGAUAACAAAUACAA